CAUACAGCCUUUUAUAUAGAAGCAGUUUUUACAGGGACCCCCUUUGAUUUAGAAGAGUGAAACAGGCAACACUGUAAAGUAAUAAUCCUUCGUUACAGGACGUGAGGCGCUUCUAUAAAGAAUCUUUAGCAUUACACGAGUAUUAAAGAUUACUGUAGUGUACUUUUCUUUUUAAACUUUUCCCUUUAUUGAAUUGAGUGAGAAACAUAUAAGCCUACUAAAUUAUUUAAAAAUUACUUUAUUUUAAAGGUAACCCCCUUCCUUGUUUCUCGACUUUAACUUUACAUAAAUAAUUCAUUUACAGUAGAUAAGAUAAUGUUGUUUUGGAUGCUGGACUUUUCUCUGGUAUUAAAAAAAAUCGUUUAUUCUCGAUUUGUUCCCUGUAUAGAAAAGAAAAA